rnacentral:rRNA from 1 species
UGGUUAGUUUGGUUCUGGUUACCUAGCUUGGGUAUAAUUUGAUCAGUUAACACAUGGUAGUUUAGGCGCAGAAUGAGUAGGAUAGGUUUUUCUAUAGAAGUGGCUAGUGCUUUUUUAAGGAAACUCACUAUCAACAAUCAGGGGAUAGCCCGAGGACUGUUAAUAGUUAGUUCAUAACUCCAGUGGAAAGAUUUUAACCAUGAGCGAAAGCUUGAUUAAUUUAUGAUUGUUAAGGGGAGUCUAACCAGGUGCCAGCAGUCGCGGUUAAACCUGAGUUGCCCAAUUCAAGGUUAACAGUGUAAAAGGUGGUAAGACGGCCUUUCAUAUUUUAUGGUUUAUAGGAAAGGAGGGAGCCGAUCUGGGGGGGUGAGGGUGUAAUCUAAUUAAUCCCCUCGGAAAGGUGGUGUGCUCUCUUUAGGCUGAAGCCACGGAACCGGUUCAUCGGAGACAUGGAUUAGAUACCCAUUUAUUGCCGACGCAAACUUUGCUAGGAGGCGGCUGCUAGAGUACUACGAGCGUGUGCUUAAAACUCAAAGAACUUGGCGGCUUGUUAACUACCCAGGGGAAUAUGCGCCUUAAUCCGAUGAUACGCGUUAUAUCUUACUGCACCUUGAAAAAGAACAGCUGGUGUAUUGCCGUUGUCAGCUUGUUGUUCGAGCAUAAUGGAACAGGCUAAGUGGAGCUAGUGAUGUUAUUGUUAGAUUCCAUAAAUUCAGGUCGUAAUACUGCCAAUGGUGCAAGGGAGUGGGUAUUACAAUUCUGAUUUAGAACUACGGAUCUUGAAAAUAAUGAAAUUAUCAGGUGAAGGUGGACUUGGGAGUAAGAGGGGAUUAACAUGCCUCUCUGAACGUGAAUCUAACUUGUGUACAAACCGCCCGUCGCUCUCCCCGGAAGGGGAGAUAAGUCGUAACAAGGUAGGGGUACUGGAAGGUGCGCCCUGAAAAGAU